UACGAGGGGAGCAAGCGUUGUUCGGAUUUACUGGGCGUAAAGGGCGCGUAGGCGGUCGUGACAAGUCACUUGUGAAAUCUCCGGGCUUAACUCGGAACGGUCAAGUGAUACUGUCGGACUAGAGUACAGAAGGGGCAACUGGAAUUCUCGGGUGUAGCGGUGAAAUGCGUAGAGUAUCGAGAGGGAACACCUGCGGCGAAGGCGGGUUGCUGGGCUGAUACUGACGGUGAUGACGGCGAAAGCCAGGGGACGCGAACGGGAUUAGACUACCCU
rnacentral:rRNA from 1 species